rnacentral:lncRNA from 1 species
AAAAAAUUGGGUUGACAUUAAUAGUAAACUAAUGUAAGGGUAAAAGUUGACGUUCUCUAACUUGUACAAGAUUUUAAUGUAAUAGUAAAGAAUAAUGAAAGAUUUUCAUUUGCCUUGCAGAUGGACUCCUAAGGAAAUGAAAGAGAAGACAGGAGACAAAUUGUUAGGAAAAGCUAAGUCUUCCCUCUUAAUGAGCAAAGAUUUUUGCCUGGUUUAAAAAUUUUUGUGAUGUAAUUUUGGCAAAAUAACUAACUGAUGGUAAUCUGGAAUUCUAUUUCAUAGCAUCAAGUGUUUUAAACCACUAACAUAUUUAAUAGGCUUCCCAAAACCAAAUUUUGGCUUCAAGUUGUCCGUCCUGACCCCUAGUUUUUGGAUGCUACAGACGGCCCCUGAAGCAUCCAAAGAGGGUAGACAGGAUUACCUGAUGUCUUUAGGUACAUGGGAUUGCCAAAAUGAUGUUUAAUAUUCUUCAGGUUAUAUUUUAGUGAAUAAUAUUAAUAUCUGUUCCAAAAUAGUACAGGAUUUUAAAAAUUCUAAUGUAUGAGUAUAUUUAUGAAUCACAAUUCAGGGUGUUAUAUUAAGUUAUUGUAAACCACAGAGAUAACCAAAUUUCUUUGUCAAUUAUGUUUUUGACUGUAACUACCCUGGACAUUUUGUUAUUCAUAGACAAUUGUUGUCUUGGUUUGAUCCUCUUUAAACGAUGGUAUAUAAUAAGCUAUAGAACUUUGACAGGUUCUCUCAAAUGCAGGUUACUGAUAACUUUGUAAAUUGUGACAUUGGUAUAAAGGAAAAACACACAGGGCUAAUGAAGAACUGAAAUGUUUAGAAAUAUCAAUACAAGAGUUAACUAAAAGGACUAAACUAAUAGAAAACUGAAGUAAUCUUUUUUAAAACUUUUGCUUAAAACAUUGCUGAUCUUUGUUUUGUUUUUCAGAGUCAAGGAAACUUUUAUUUUGAGCUAUUUACAGUCUUUAAUAAUUGAGUAAAGUAGACUCCUGUGAACAAAAUUUGGAGCAUGUUUGUUUCUCUUUGCAUGGUUCCUAUAGAAUUUGGAAACUAUCUGCCAUUGAACUCCAAACAAUCAUGCAACUAGAGCCUCAAAUGAUGGCCCCCUUUUACCAGAGACCCUUAGAUAGGCCUCUGAGGGAGAUCUGACUGCUGUUAUUUGAAAACAGCACCCCCUGUCAGCAGAAAGCAGUUAAGGUGCCACUAGAGGAGCUGGAAGGUGUUCCUGGUCUUUUGCAAAAGAAAGCUUUCUUCUCAAAUCAAUGCAAAAUCUCCUUCUCUUCUAACUAUCCUAGAGCUGUGGGGAGGAGGCAGAGAGUGUGUGGAUUUGAAAGGGCUUCUCGACCUCUAGGUAAAAAGAAAGAGCUUAGAUAUUAACAUUGUAAUUACAUCAAUUAGAUGCUAACUUUAUUUGGUUUUCAAAAAUAAUCAGGCCCCUGCUAAUUGUGUGUAUAGAGAAAGAAAUGAGUCCACAUUCUUUGUAAACACUAAGUACACUUUUUUGUUCUCUAUCAAUGAGCAGCAGGCAGCAUGUGGAUCUCAGAUAUCUGAAGACAGGGCAUAUGAGCUGAUUAAAUGGGCUGGUAGGAAAGGUCUGAAUUCAGAGGUUAGCACUGCCAACCCUCUGUUCCUCCAGUCCACCCCCUGUAACCAGCUCCCACUGGCUUCAUCACGGCUGCCCAAUUUCUUCCUACUCCAGUGUUUCUCAACCCUUUAAAUCAAUGCCAACUUUUCAUAAAUACAAACAUCUUAUUCACACUUUCCCCAGAAAUUCUAACACGUUCCUCAGGAUUAGGGGAGUGGAAACUUCAGUUAGGAAACUCUGUAUUUUCUUUGUAACCCAGCAGCAAAAACAAUGUGGUUGUGUUUUGUUUUCUGAAGUUGCCAUUAUAAAAAUAAUAGUUUUGUUAUGUUUUUAUAAGAUAAAACUAAAUUAUAAAAUUGAACAUGUCUUCUCAAAUUUUUCACUUGCCUCCAACCACCCUCCACUUCCCAUAGAUUCUAGUAUUUCUCUAAGAGCCCAUUCCUCAAGUUAAAAAUUGUUGCUCUAAUUUCUACAUCAUGACCAGGACAUGCUGUAUAAUUUGUGGGGCCUAGUUCAAAAUGAAUAUGCAAGGUCCCUCUUCAAACAUUAUUAAGGAUUUCAAGAUGGCUACAGUAGAGGAUUAAACCAAGGCUGGGACCUUUCUAAGCUUGGAGUCCUGGGUGACUGCACAGAAUACAUGCCACAAAGCUGUCCCUGAUCAUGACUUUUUAGCUUCUGCUAUUCCUGUCAUUGACUUCAUCUGUGUGUUUCCUAAUUCUGAUUCCCAAGAGCAAGAAUCGGAUUGGCUAAGAUAAGCAUUUCAUUCCAGAAGUUUUACUGGUUGCUGGCAGGCAUAUUCAUUGGAGAGGUCCCUUGGUCAGUCAACUAUGUCAGAACCAAACAGUCGUGUGUGAUCAAGGUGGGGGAUUUGAAUGGGAGUAGAGAAUGGGUCUACUACUACAGUACAUGGCCACCAAUGUAGCCAUGAGAGUGGACGGGGCAGUUUUCUUAGGAGUGGACAUGGGUAGACAGGCAAUCACUGACACUGAAUACAAAAUAUAAAUAUACGCAUUUCCAAUUUGAGCCUGAUGUCUGUGUAAAACGGAGUAAUAAUAUUUCAGAGGCUAGUUUAUGGGGGAUAGAUGAGAUAGUGACCUAAACAAAUGGAUGUAAAACCCCAAGAAAUCAUUAUUACCAUUCAACUAAGGGAGUGCAAACAUAGUGGAACCUGAUUUAAUAUCUCAAAUAGUCCAGCACUCAAAAAUAGGCUGGUAACACAUAGGCCAUCAGGGUGUUGUCUUGUGGUGCAUGCAGCAGGAUGACUAUUACUGUGAACUAAGCAACACAGAUGCCAUCUUCUGAAGACAAAUAGACACAAAGGAUUGUGUCUUUGUUCAUAUAUACAAAGAAAAUUGGCACUAGAACUGGAUGAGAGCCAAGGGACAGUCUGUUUGAUAGGCUGUGGCUUGUGAUAGUCCUAAUCUGUUGAUGAAAUAAUGUGUUUCCUUCUGGAAAAAAGGAAUUUUCUAACGUUCCCCUAAGAAAGGUUUCAGCUGCCCUCAGCUCUGUCAGGGACUAGAAGUGAUUGUCCUGUUCUGGGUUAUUAUCACUUUGAUCACACCAAUUCCCCUUUUGGGCUUAAAAAACUCAGUCUCUUUCUGUCUCUCUCUCUCUCUUUUUCUCUCUCUCUCUUUUUGGAGGAUUUUUUUCGAAUCUGUAUAUCUUUCUAGUUUAACUAGAUACAGAUCUAGUCAUGGGUUUUUACCCCCAGGCUCUCCCUUUUGUCAUCUUUUAUCCUCCUCUUUCCUUUGUCCCAUUUAAAUUAAAUUUUAGAAUUUAUAUAAGAAUUUAAGUUGGUCAUAGUAAAGAUUUUGAAACAUUAGGGAUUUUGAAUUCCAAUAGUGUUAUCAGUAGCUUUUAAAGGUUAGGAUUUUCCUUUUGUAUGUGUCAUGAGUCUAUAUGUGUGAGACUGUGACACUGUGUGUAUGUAUUUAAAGAAUAUUUAAACUUAUGACAGUAAAAGAAAAAGUACAAAUUGCAAAUAUCAAGCGUUACGUCAAAUAAAAACUUCCAAAACAGUCCUAUGUGACAAAUAACACAAACCAAAUUAAUUAUUAAAAAGAAUCUUUUGUAUCACUCAAUUCCUAGAAAGAAUCAGGAAAGUAAAAGUCUAAAAAGCAGUGGUUUGAAGAAAAACAGGAAGCCUGCCACAAAGCAUUUUGAGUAGGUGAAUGAAGGUUAUUAGUUAAGCUGGGGAUGCCUGCUUUCCCUGCUCUAGCAGUCACAGACAGAGUGAGCAUGCCUCUGCAUAAUCCUAUUAUGUACAGGGUGCUGCACUUGGCCUUCCUGGUGACUUACAUUUGCCAGAAACACUACACUUCAAACACAUACCAUACAGGCAAUUACAACAGGUUUCCAAAGAUUGAUGGCAGCCCCCAAAUGAAAAGAUUCCACUAGCUACCCUCUAAAUCCUCAUAUGAAGAAUAUGUGUUUGUGUGUGUGCCACUAUGUGUUCAUGUAUUUAGCCAGCAUAAUGUAGAAAAUUGAUUUCUUAACACCUGAUUCUAGGCAGAAGCAAUUUCUGCCCAGAAUGUCAGCCACUUUUUAAAAAAUAACAUCAAGCCAUUGCACAAAUACAAAAUCACAUACUUGGAGAAAACGAAAUUAUACACAUCCUUAGAAUAUUACUCUUUCCCUUUCAUCCUUCAAAAAUUAAUUUGGAUUUUUAACUUUCCAUCCUGGUCCAAUACUGUACAACAAAGAAAGUAUGGAUAAGAAAAGUAAGAUUUCAGAAAUGUGGUAAGGAGUGGAGGGAAAUGCCUUCAAUAAUUCUCAGUGAGGGUGUAGGAGGACUUCUGGCUCACAGAUGUUCCAGUGCUCUAAGGGGUUCAUUGGGAGAGAAUAUCACCAUAGGUUUGAAAAACUAUUAAUCCCACCAAGGAAAAAAAACUUCAGCUUUUGAGCCUGUUAGCAAAUUAUAGUUAAUAAAAAUAAAAUUUGUGGCCUGGCACAGUGGCUCACGCCUGUAAUCCUAGCAUUUUGGGAGGCCGAGGAGGGUGGAUUGCCUGAGCUCAGGGGUUCAAGACCAGCCUGGUCAACAUGGUGAAACCCUGUCUCUACUAAAUACAAAUUAGCUGGGCUUGGCAGCAUGUGCCUGCAGCCCAACUACUCAGGAGGCUGAAGUGGGAGAAUUGCUCCAGCCCACAAGGCAGAGGUUGCAGUGAGGUGAGAUGGUGCAACUACUACACUCCAGACUGGGUGACAGAGCGAGUCUCUGUCUCAAAAAUAAAAUAAAAUAAAAUAAAAUAAUAUAAAAUAAAAUUUGUAAAUAGAAUACACCGAAAUAUAUUCUGUGAACAAAAGAGGACAAAUUAAACCAAGAGAGUUCAAUGUACAAGGUAUGAUUUUGAAAUUAUACAAUUGUACUUUUAAAUCCCUUGACUUUUGCAAAGAAUCUUGAUGCAGCAUAUAUUUUUAUUAUAUAAAUGUCUAUUUUGCAAUAGGAUGAAAUAAAAUUAAGAAGACCUAUGAUAAUGCAGUAUAUAAAUUUGGCAAAACACUUGAAUAAUGAAAAAACUUAUUGGUGAGUUUUGUCUCAUAAAUAUAUUUGUUGGAGAAAGAUACUCUAAAUGGAGACAAACAUAAAAUGCUUGUGGAAAUAUUUAGACAUUUAACAUAAACAAUUAGAAUUGACAUUGCCCUCCAUUUGACAGAAUUUUAUCUGAAUUUACAUUACAACAGCACUAGAAGAGAAUAUUUUCCCUAUUAAAAAGAUUAUGGUCUAUAGAAAAAGAACCAACUGAAAAUGCAAUUAACCAUAAUUUGAAACUUGAAGACAAUUUCAGGCAUUUUUAUGGGAAAAAACACUAAAUUUUUAAACAAAAUACUAUUAAUAAAGAGAAUUAGAGAAAUUAUAUAAGCACACAAGUAUUGUUACCUGCUUUUAAAAUUUUUAAUGUUCAGGUAAUGAUAUAAAGGAGGUUUAUUUAUUAAAAUGUUUAUUUAAUGUAUACUAGUGUAAUAG